rnacentral:lncRNA from 1 species
UUUAUUCCAUAAUUAUUUGCAUAUACUUAUCCACCUUCAUCGUUCUUAGUGUAGAGGUAAUAGGGUGCAUUGUACUUUGUGGGAUGAUUUUGCUCUAAAUAUGCAGAAAUUCUUGGAUAUACUCAUGAUUCAUCCCUACCUAUGGUAAUCAUAAUACAACUAUGCAAGCUUAAGAAGUACCUUGGUAGGAAAAUACUUCCUUUUUCACCUAUUGUUUGAAAUAUAGCUCUGGUGGUGUAUUUUUUUGUUUCCAUUUGAGUAUGUGCUAUGUAAAUUUCAAAUUCUUUUUAUGGAUCAGAAUUGUUGUUGAAUGCUCAGAUUCCUGAAGUAUGUAAUUAUAUAGAAACUUAGAAUGAAGUAUCUAAUUAUAUAGAAACUUAGAAAGGUGAUUCUUCUAUGUUGGUUGCUUGAAUUUCCUUUAGCUACUCUUUGGUGCUUGAUUGUCUAUUUUCUUAAAUAAAUGAUGAAUGUUGCUAAUGUGUAGUUAAGUCAAGUGGUUAAUCAAAUGAUCGGACCAGUGAUGCAUAGUGUCGUCGAUGAUUUGCUGUAGACCCCAACGAUGACUAUUGAGGAUCUCAUUGAAUCUACCGAGGUUAGAAACUAUUUUUAAGAUUCUCUACCUAAUUACACGUAUUGGUUACAUAAUAUUAUGUUGGUUAGUUGGUGAUUAAACAAAUGUGAAACAGUAUUAAGUAGAUAGCAAUGUCCAAUUAGAAACACACUAAUUAAGCAA